ACGGAAGGCAGCAGUGAGGAAUAUUGGUCAAUGGGCGGAAGCCUGAACCAGCCAAGUCGCGUGAAGGAUGAAGGUAUUAUGUAUUGUAAACUUCUUUAGCAGCAGAGUAAUAAGGGGGUCGUGACCCCCGAUGCAAGUAUGCUGAAAAUAAGGAUCGGCUAACUCCGUGCCAGCAGCCGCGGUAAUACGGAGGAUCCGAGCGUUAUCCGGAUUUAUUGGGUUUAAAGGGUGCGCAGGCGGUUUUUUAAGUCAGUGGUUAAAUCGUGAGGCUCAACCUCAUCACGCCAUUGAUACUGGAAGACUUGAUUGCGGUUGAGGUUGGCGGAAUUCGUCGUGUAGCGGUGAAAUGCAUAGAUAUGGCGAAGAACUCCGAUUGCGUAGGCAGCUUACCAGACCGACAAUGACGCUCAUGCACGAAAGUGCGGGGAUCGAACAGGAUUAGAUACCCUGGUA
rnacentral:rRNA from 1 species